CAUUUCAAAGUGCGCGCACGCACAGCGGACGUAGGCCGAGUUAGUGAGUUAGUAAUGAUUUAAUGCUUGUGUGGUUUAUAAAGACUUUUUACAUACAAGUUAUAAUUCAAAAUGUUGUUUUUUCCUUUCAGAAAAGCACAUGGAUACACUUGUGAGAGAAAAACUCUUCGAGUGCAGUCUUAUUGAGGCAUCUAACGGUUGGAACAAACAUGGAAUUCUUUAACUGAGCAGAGUACACAAAACCACAUCCAACUGUCGUGGCGAUUUAAAAAUGCCAGCAGAUCUCUCAGGCAUUGAUCAUAAUUAAAGGACAGUUUUGGCAGGUAACAUGUGCCACCAGAUCCAGUCUGUAUCCAGAUCAGAG